AUCAGAACGACCAACGCAACAAAAGACAAAAACAUAAAACACCAAAAAACACACGUGUGAAUUAUAUUGUGAAUUAAAAAAUUAAUUGAUUGUUGCAAAGUUAUAAAGGAAACAGCAAUUUUCACUUUUUUAGGAUUUAGAUCAUCAACUUUUUAUGAUCCGUGUGUCUCUUCGACGAUUUUUCCACACCACCGUGCGCAGAGACAAGAUCUUAAAAAUGUCUCCUUACACCGAUGCACAUUUCCGCUGCAAAGAGGGCUGUGAAACCUUUGAGUUUACUUUCUUUUUGAAGCACGACACAUUAAAAAUAUCCCGAAAUUUCAAUUUCAACCGAAGAAUUACAGAGUCAGUUGGAGAAUUUCAAAGCCGAGUCGUGGCCAGUCUGGAAAAAUCAAUUUCCAAGAAGAAUAAAAAGAAAUCGAAGGAAGGGCAGGCCAGUGCUGACGCCGUGAAGGUGCAGUUCAAAGUCGACGGGGAAGAGGCCGAAACAAGUGCAAUUUGCAAAGAUAUGAUGCUGAGCUCCAGCGGCGUGACAAUGCAUUUCCUUGACCUGAGCUACAAAAUCCAAAUCAAUUCUCCAGUUGUCAAUGCCAUAGCGCUGCCUGAAUCGAUUCUUGCUGGUUUUCCUGUCUACCCGUCGAAAUUGGAUGUGGACUAUGCUGAGCGACAAGACUGUCAACUCAUCUGGUUUCGUUCGGUUAAAAAAUUAAGCGAGUCAGAAAACAAAGAGCAGGCCAAAUACGAACAAGUGGCCACAGGAUACAGCUACAUCCCCAUCGCAGAUGACAUUGGGCAUGCCAUCAAGCUGAGGUGUGAACCUGUGAAAGGAGACCUGAAGGGUCCAGCUAUGGAAUGCGUGGCCAAAAACGUUAUUUCAGCAGGUCCUGGUCAUUGUCCCUUCCAAACGAGGCAUCUCUUCACUCAAGAUUUUUUAAGUGGCUCAAAGUUUCGCAUAAUGACCUACAAUAUCUUAGCUGAUUUUUAUACUGACUCUGAUUAUUCUCGAGAAGUUCUUUUCCCCUACUGCCCACCCUAUGCACUAGAUAUUGAUUACAGGAAGCAACUCAUUUUGAAAGAGAUAAUCGGCUACAAGGCUGAUCUCAUUUGCUUGCAAGAAGUGGACCACAAAGUUUUUGACGUCGACCUGGAACCUGUUUUAGGCAGUGAAGGCUACUCUGGCACCUUUAAUAGAAAAGGAGGCCAGGUUAGUGAGGGGAUCGCUUGUUUCUAUCGCAACAGCACAUUCAUUUUAGAGCAUCAAGAGUGUCUAAAUCUGAGUCAGGAAAUCACUGAAAAUCCACUGUUCGCUGUAAUCCAUGAAGCCAUAAUUAAAAAUGAAGCAUUAAAAUCAAGAAUUUUAGACAGGGGCUCAGUUCUUCAAUUAGUUGUUCUUCGUCACGCUGCUUCUAAUCACAUCUUAGUCAUUGGGAUAACACACCUUUAUUUCCACCCGGAUGCUGAUCACGUUCGACUUUUGCAAGCAGCAACUUGUCUCAGCAUUUUGCAGCACAAACAUAAAUUACUAUCAGAAAGGGAUAAAUGCUCUUUGAUACUUUGUGGAGACUUCAACAGCACACCGCCGUUUGGUGUUUAUAAAUUCAUGACGGAAGGAUUUAUUCCAAAAGAUUACCCAGAUUGGAAGAGCAAUGAAAAUGAGGUUGUCGAAGGACUAGAAUUAGAUCACAGCAUGAAGCUGGAAAGUGCUUGUGGCUGUCCGAAGUACACAAACUUCACUGUGGGAUUUGCUGACUGCCUGGACUACAUUUUCUACCAGACUGACAACCUGAGAGUUACGCAAGUAGUUCCUUUUCCCAGUGACGAAGAACUGCAGGAGCACACAGCUAUACCCAGUGUUGUGCAACCCUCAGACCAUGUGGCCCUGAUUGCGGACUUGGAAAUAACACACGAGUGAUUCCAAUUUUAAGAUUACUCUUUAUGCCAAUACAAAAAUAGGAAUGUUACGACAAAAUGGCGACAGACCUGCGGGACACCGCACAGCUGACGUUGUCCAGCGAAGCCCAUCUUUUCUGAGCCGAGAUUUGGCUGUUGACGAUGCCGCCCACCACACGGUCUUCUGCUAUGCGACUCAUCGCCUCCAGUUUCUGUGCCCGUGAGCGACUGAGUGGCUCAGCCGGAAAGGCGAGUUCGUUGGCUUCAGCCAGGGUUCGUAGAUCAAAGUAGUAUUUUGCAUACACACUGGAGGGCACGUUGAUGUUGAACUGAAGCAUCUCCAAAAACUGGCGCUCCAGCUCAUUCCUAAAUGAUUUGGAAUUUGGAAUCUGUUUACUUUUUCGUGGUAAUAAAAAGGGCUUCUUACAUGUUUUCGACCGUAAUGUCCUUCAAUAUUUGGCAAUAAUCCACAUUCCAGACAGCCUGAUCAUCCCAUACUUUAGACGCUAGCAAUAUAGCUCCAAGUACAAUUCGUUUCCAAGAACCAGGCGUUAUGUCUAUCUCAGCAUACGUUAGCAACCUGUAAAAAGUAAAAAAUUCUAUAAAAGACGAUAGGGAAUUUUUGCACAAAGUGUUGUCCGAUUUGAAUUGUAAAUUUCAAAAUACUAUUCUAUGGAGGAUACUUAUAUUGAUUAUAACUAUAUGCAACCUGCUCUGUAGAAAAUUUUACUAGAACAUUUAAAUAAGCUUUGUGCAACCAAAAUUUAUACCAUUGCUUGAAAAAAUUCACAUUUCUUAAAAAAUUUAAGUAGUAACUUCUUUAAAAAAAAAAAAAAAAAAUACCUUUCCAAGUACACUAAUGUGAUAAUGGCACACUCUGCUGUUAGUUGUGCGGCAUUGAAUAGUGUCCGAACAAAUUUGUAGAUUUGCCUGUGUUCGGGAUUGUGUCUGUCGUAAUCAUCUGGGACGCAGUCCUUCUAAAAUUCAAUCGGUUCAAUUAUUGACUCUCACAAGAGGAGAAAUGCGCACCGUCAAUGGAUGAAGCUUCUCAUCAAAAAUAUCUAGAUGUUUAUUUGAGGUCCUGUUCUUUAUAUGGAAGUAAAUGGCAAGGGCGACGCACUUAACAGUGCUCUUAAGGUUCGGUUGAGAGACGGUGCUGUCAUCGAGAAAUAUCGUAGAGCAAGACGAGCUUUUCUUCAUGGGCCGAGAUUCAAACAACUGUAAAUUAAAAGACUGUUAGUUUGCCCAACGACACUGCUGAUAACCUUUCUUACGUGAUUCUGGCUCUUUUUCCUGACUAGUCCAUCUGCAAGAGGGAAAAAAAUCGAAGGCGAAUUGUUAAUAAUUUAUGUGCUGACACUCGCCCUAAAAGGUCUUACUUUGAAUGGAGGCCUUCGAGCGCUCCAUAAAAAUAGUGCCGGCUCGGGGGUGAGAUGAGGGGUCAGUGUCCCAUUCCUCAGGUUCUCGCUCGCUUAUGUGCUGAAGGUUGCCGACACUCUCUUCGUGGUUCGGUGCCAAUUCGUCAAAACCUCGCCGACCGCCCGCCUGGCCUGCGGCCGCCGCCCCCUCCUUGCGGGUCACUUGGGGGCUGGCGUAGACGCAGCAGCUGUGUUUGUUGCCCAUGGCCUCAACUCAUUGCCUGCACCGCCGUGGAUCUACCUUCGCUGGUGUUUGUACUGAUAGCGAGGACAGAACGGAGUCUUACAUUCGAGAGAGGCAGGGUAAAUAUUUAACGAGAUGACAGGAACCACCACCUACUGUAUUUCGGUGGCCAUCUUAGAGUCACUGCCAACUUUUCAAGAACUGGACUAGCAACUUUCUCGUUCAUUUAUUUUGCUUCCGUGGUAUCAGACGACCUUGGAAAAAAGCUAGCUAUUUUAAUAAGCAUGAAAGUGGAUUCGGAGUGUAAAAAUCGGCAUUAUCCAUUAAUUUUUUUAUAAAAAAAACUUAAUUUUGUUUCUCAAUGUGGAUUAAAAUUUUAUUUAAUUGCGAAUUUUAAUAAAAUUCAAAUGUUUGGCUUUCUGUUAGGUUGGUAUGAAUUUGCGUCGACGACUUUUUCGGGACCGCUUUGCAGAGCUUACGACCAAUGAGCGUUGUGGGAAGUAGCGUGAAAUGAAACACUGGUACGCAGGCUUUUGCACAUGAGACUCGGGAGAUCCUUGCCCUCCCCAGCCAACAGCAGCGAUUGGCCUAGAAGUUUCUUCGAUCGCUCUUUUUACACAACAAGCAUGGCGGACCCAGUCGAAAUGGAUUUGGAUGUGAUUGAAGUCCCUAUCGAGGAACCCGUCAUCAGCAGAGAAGAACAGGGAGAGAUCCAAAAACUCGCAGGCAACGAUAAAUACAGACUCAAGGACUACAAAGGCGCACUUG